rnacentral:rRNA from 1 species
AUUGAACGCUGGCGGCAUGCCUUACACAUGCAAGUCGAACGGUAACGGGCCUUCGGGUGCCGACGAGUGGCGAACGGGUGAGUAAUGCAUCGGAACGUACCCAUCAGUGGGGGAUAACUCUCCGAAAGGAGGGCUAAUACCGCAUAUUCUGUGCGCAGGAACGCGGGGGACCGCAAGGCCUCGCGCUGAUGGAUCGGCCGAUGUCGGAUUCGCUAGUUGGUGGGGUAAAGGCCUACCAAGGCGACGAUCUGUAGCGGGUCUGAGAGGAUGAUCCGCCACACUGGGACUGAGACACGGCACAGACUCCUACGGGAGGCAGCAGUGGGGAAUUUUGGACAAUGGGGGCAACCCUGAUCCAGCCAUGCCGCGUGAGUGAAGAAGGCCUUCGGGUUGUAAAGCUCUUUCGGCCGGGAAGAAAUCGCAUCUCCUAAUACGGGGUGUGGAUGACGGUACCGGAAUAAGAAGCACCGGCUAACUACGUGCCAGCAGCCGCCGUAAAAC